GACGGAGGGUCCAAGCGUUAUCCGGAAUCAUUGGGUUUAAAGGGUCCGUAGGCGGCCUUAUAAGUCAGUGGUGAAAUCUCCUAGCUCAACUAGGAAACUGCCAUUGAUACUGUAGGGCUUGAAUUUUUGUGAAGUAACUAGAAUAUGUAGUGUAGCGGUGAAAUGCUUAGAUAUUACAUGGAAUACCAAUUGCGAAGGCAGGUUACUAACAAACGAUUGACGCUGAUGGACGAAAGCGUGGGGAGCGAACAGG
rnacentral:rRNA from 1 species